rnacentral:rRNA from 1 species
AUUGAACGCUGGCGGCAGGCCUAACACAUGCAAGUCGAGCGAGCGGCGGACGGGUGAGUAAUGUAUGGGAAUCUGCCCGAUGGAGGGGGAUAACUACUGGAAACGGUAGCUAAUACCGCAUACUAUCGGAUGUACCCAGAUGGGAUUAGCUAGUAGGUGGGGUAAUGGCUCACCUAGGCGACGAUCCCUAGCUGGUCUGAGAGGAUGACCAGCCACACUGGGACUGAGACACGGCCCAGACUCCUACGGGAGGCAGCAGUGGGGAAUAUUGCACAAUGGGCGCAAGCCUGAUGCAGCCAUGCCGCGUGUAUGAAGAAGGCCUUCGGGUUGUAAAGUACUUUCAGCGGGGAGGCGUUACCCGCAGAAGAAGCACCGGCUAACUCCGUGCCAGCAGCCGCGGUAAUUC